UACGAAGGGGGCUAGCGUUGCUCGGAAUUACUGGGCGUAAAGCGCACGUAGGCGGUUUCUUAAGUCGGGGGUGAAAUCCUGGAGCUCAACUCCAGAACUGCCUUCGAUACUGGGAGACUUGAGUUCGGGAGAGGUGAGUGGAACUGCGAGUGUAGAGGUGGAAUUCGUAGAUAUUCGCAAGAACACCAGUGGCGAAGGCGGCUCACUGGCCCGAUACUGACGCUGAGGUGCGAAAGCGUGGGGAGCAAACAGG
rnacentral:rRNA from 1 species